rfam:Roseburia sp. 499 contig000007, whole genome shotgun sequence.
UGAAACUUGUAGUAACAACGAAUGGCAAGAAGUCAGCAGAGGUCAUAGUACCAUUGUGGUUGCAAACAUGGUGGGAAGGAC